ACCGGCAGCUCAAGUGGUAGCCGCUAUUACUGGGCCUAAAGCGUUCGUAGCUGGCUAAGUAAGUCUUUGGUUAAAUCCUGCGACUUAACCGUGAGAAAUCUAGAGAUACUGCCUGUCUUGAGACCGGGAGAGGUUGGAGGUACUCCCAGGGUAGGAGUGAAAUCCUGUAAUCCUGGGGGGACCACCUGUGGCGAAGGCGUCUCACCAGGACGGCUCCGACGGUGAGGAACGAAAGCUGGGGGAGCAAACCG
rnacentral:rRNA from 1 species